GGAUGUGAGGGCAAUCUGUCACCCCAGUGACCACCAGGGUUGAUUCAGCUGAUCUGGAUGGCUAGGCGGGUAUCUCUCACCACUCCAUGUGCAUCCCUCCCAAAGCUGCAUGCUUGGUCAAAGAGGAUGGUCUUCCCCAAUAGAGACAGACCAAUUUUAGGCCAAGGGUAUUUGAGUAGCUGUUCCCCACUGCUAGAAUCUCCAAAUAUACUUUCAGUUUCCCACCACCUGUUCUGUGUCCCCUCCCUUCCAUUGGGAGCUUCUCUAUUCUUUGUCCUUCUGGGAGAAUGGGCCAAAAUUCUCUUU
rfam:Erinaceus europaeus unplaced genomic scaffold scaffold00422, whole genome shotgun sequence